ACGUGGAACUCAAAUGAAGUUUAUGGUAAAAUUAAUUUUAUUGUUGAACUUAUUAGGCUUUAACGAGAUUUCUUUUUUGAGGUGAAAUUUGUUAAUUGAGGUUUAGGUGGCUUGACAAAAUUUGUAAAGAUAUUUGAAAGUAGGAUUGAAAACUAGGAUUAGAUACCCUAUUAUUCUUACUAAUGUUAUUUGCUGGGGUAGUAAAAGAGGAUCUUCAAACCCAAAGAUUUUGGCGGUGCUUUAUCUGGCCAGAGGAACUUGUCUCGUAAUUGAUAUUCCCCAAAUAUCUUACUUAUUUUUGUAUAACAGUUUGUAUACCGCCGUUGGCAGAUGGUCUUAUAAGAGUUCUUUCCACAAAAAGUGUUUCUUACUUCAGGUCAAGGUGCAGCUUAUAAAUAAGUGAGGAUGAGUUACAAUAAUGAAAAAUUAUUAUGGAUUAGAGCUUGAAAGAGUUUUAUGAAGGUGGAUUUGGUAGUAAGGUUAUUUUAUGAAAAUUUCCUGAAACUGUUUCUAAAGUGUGCACAUAUCGCCCGUCACUCUCUUCUAUAAAAGAGAUAAGUCGUAA
rnacentral:rRNA from 1 species